UACGGAGGUGGCUAGCGUUGUUCGGAAUUACUGGGCGUAAAGCGCACGUAGGCGGCUUGGCAAGUCGGAUGUGAAAUCCCUCGGCUCAACCAAGGAAGUGCAUCCGAAACUGCUGAGCUUGAGUACUUAAGAGGAUCGCGGAAUUCCCGGUGUAGAGGUGAAAUUCGUAGAUAUCGGGAGGAACACCUGUGGCGAAAGCGGCUCACUGGACCACAACUGACGCUGAUGCGCGAAAGCUAGGGGAGCAAACAGG
rnacentral:rRNA from 1 species